CGGUACCACAAGGGGAGCGAAAGCUGAGAGUGAACAAUCUGUUCUGACCCUCUGAACCUGUUAGUUAGGACUAGCGUAGGGAUGUGGAAAAUAGGCAUC
rnacentral:ncRNA from 2 species